rnacentral:rRNA from 1 species
CGAUAACGAACGAGACCUUCAUCGUUAACUAGCCCGGCUCGCCUUGGCGGGUCGCCGGCUUCUUAGCGAGACUUUUGGCUUAAGCCAAAGGAAGUUGGAGGCAAUAACAGGUCUGUGAUGCCCUUAGAUGUUCUGGGCUGCACGCGCGCUACACUGACAGAGGCAACGAGUUUUUUUCCUUGGCCGGAAGGUCUGGGUAAUCUUGGUAAACUCUGUCGUGCUGGGGAUAGAGCAUUGCAAUUAUUGCUCUUCAACGAGGAAUGCCUAGUAAGCGCGUGUCAUCAGCAUGCGUUGAUUACGUCCCUGCCCUUUGUACACACCGCCCGUCGCUACUACCGAUUGAAUGGCU